CAGUGGCCGAAUGGUAAAGCAGGUGCCUGCACACUUUUGGUCGGCGGUUCGAACCCUGG
rnacentral:tRNA from 16 species